CUAAAAACGUACGUCUCAGUUCGGAUUGCAGGCUGCAACUCGCCUGCAUGAAGUCGGAAUUGCUAGUAAUCGCAGAUCAGAAUGUCGCGGUGAAUACGUUCCCGGGUCUUGUACACACCGCCCGUCACACCAUGGGAGUCGGAAAUGCCCGAAGCCGGUGACCCAACCAAAAGGAGGGAGCCGUCGAAGGCAGGUCUGAUAACUGGGGUGAAGUCGUAACAAGGUAUC
rnacentral:rRNA from 1 species